rnacentral:rRNA from 1 species
GACGAACGCUGGCGGCGUGCUUAACGCAUGCAAGUCGAACGGAAAGGCGCCUUCGGUGGUACUCGGGUGGCGGACGGGGGCGUAACACUUGCGUAACCUUCCCUUGACUUCGGGAUAACUUCAGGAAACUGGGGCUAAUACCGGUAAGGAAUCCUUUCUGCAUGGUGGGGGUUGGAAAGCUUCGGCGGGUUUUGAUGGGCUCGCGGGUUAUCAGCUUGUUGGUGGGGUAGUGCCUUACCAAGGCUUUGACGGGUGGCCCGCCUGAGUGGGCGACCGGCCAUACUGGGUCUUAGAGACGGCACCGACUCCUACGGGUGGCAGAAGGGGGGAAUCUUGCCCAAUCGGCGGCAGCCUGAUGCAGAAACGCCGCGUGCGGGAUGACGGCCUUCUGGUUGAAAACCGAUUUCAGCAGGGGCGAAGCUCGUGGUGACGGUACCUGCAGAAGAAGCACCGGCUAACUACGUG